rnacentral:rRNA from 1 species
GAACGUGCCCGAUCGUGGGGGAUAACGCAGCGAAAGCUGUGCUAAUACCGCAUACGAUCUACGGAUGAAAGCAGGGGAUCGCAAGACCUUGCGCGGACGGAGCGGCCGAUGGCAGAUUAGGUAGUUGGUGGGGUAAAGGCUCACCAAGCCGACGAUCUGUAGCUGGUCUGAGAGGACGACCAGCCACACUGGGACUGAGACACGGCCCAGACUCCUACGGGAGGCAGCAGUGGGGAAUUUUGGACAAUGGGCGCAAGCCUGAUCCAGCCAUGCCGCGUGCAGGAUGAAGGCCUUCGGGUUGUAAACUGCUUUUGUACGGAACGAAAAGGUCUUCUCUAAUAAAGAGGGCUCAUGACGGUACCGUAAGAAUAAGCACCGGCUAACUACGUGCCAGCAGCCGCGGUAAUACGUAGGGUGCAAGCGUUAAUCGGAAUUACUGGGCGUAAAGCGUGCGCAGGCGGUGAUGUAAGACAGAUGUGAAAUCCCCGGGCUCAACCUGGGAACUGCAUUUGUGACUGCAUCGCUGGAGUGCGGCAGAGGGGGAUGGAAUUCCGCGUGUAGCAGUGAAAUGCGUAGAUAUGCGGAGGAACACCGAUGGCGAAGGCAAUCCCCUGGGCCUGCACUGACGCUCAUGCACGAAAGCGUGGGGAGCAAACAGGAUUAGAUACCCUGGUAGUCCACGCCCUAAACGAUGUCAACUGGUUGUUGGGUCUUCACUGACUCAGUAACGAAGCUAACGCGUGAAGU